AACGAACGCUAGCGGCGCGUCUCAAGCAUGCAAGUCGAACGGUAACACGGGGCAACCUGGUGACGAGUGGCGAACGGGUGAGUAACGCGUAGGUGAUCUGCCUUUUGGUUGGGGAUAUACCGUGGAAACACGGGGUAAUACCGAAUAAGUUCCUCUGGUUUGGACUGGGGGAGGAAAGGGGCUACGGCCUCGCCGAAAGAUGAGCCUGCGUUUGAUUAGCUAGUUGGUGAGGUAAAAGCUCACCAAGGCGACGAUCAAUAGCCGGCCUGAGAGGGUGGUCGGCCACACUGGGACUGAGAUACGGCCCAGACUCCUACGGGAGGCAGCAGCUAAGAAUCUUCCACAAUGGACGAAAGUCUGAUGGAGCGACGCCGCGUGGGUGAUGAAGGCGGAAACGUUGUAAAGCCCUUUUGUCCGGAAAGAAAUGGCUCUGGUUAAUACCUGGGGUCGAUGACGGUACCGGAAGAAUAAGGACCGGCUAACUACGUGCCAGCCGCCGCAGUAA
rnacentral:rRNA from 1 species